UCCUUGGACCAAGGAAUUAAUAUCAAGGAUUAUUACUUCUUUCCAAACUUAAGAUGUCUUCAAACAUGGGAAGAAGAAAUUGCAGACAGCUCAGGAAAACUGGUGGAUAAAGAAAUGGUUAUGUCAAGAAUCAUACUUAGUUUUCUACAAGAAUCUAAUAAAUUUCGAACGUUUUCACUCCUCCGUCAAGAUGUUUUAUUCAGCGAUGUAUUUCUAAUUUUCACUUUGGAAGGAACAGAUUUUUCCCGGAUGACCAAUCUUAUAAAAAAAUCAGUUGCAAUGCUUAACCUCUGCAAUGACAUGGUGACCUACAUCCCAGACUCCGUUGCGACAAUGGAGUUUUGUAAAAAUGAUGCCAAGAUAAGAUCGCUAAAUAAUGCUUGGCCAAUCGAUUCACCAAUCAAAGAUUGGGUGGAUUAUGAAGAAGAAAAAUUAUAUUUUGAAAACGCUGAUCUCCUUGACCAAAGUGAAUCAAAGAAUGGAAUGGAGAAAAUUGCUGUCUUGAAAA